rnacentral:pre_miRNA from 1 species
AGUGGGAUAACUGGGUCAAAUGGUGUUCCACUCCAAGUUUUCUAAGGAAUCUUCAUACUGCUUGCCAUAGUGGUUACACCAAUUUAUAGUCCCACCAGCAAU